CGGGGUGCAGCAGGCGCGAAAACUCUACAAUGCAGGCAACUGCGAUAGGGGAACAUCGAGUGAUCCUCAUAUUGGGGGUCUGUCCACUCGCCUAAAAGCGGGUGUUAGCAAGGGCCGGGCAAGACCGGUGCCAGCCGCCGCGGUAAUACCGGCGGCUCGAGUGGUGGCCGAUAUUAUUGAGUCUAAAGGGUCCGUAGCCGGCUUUGCAAGUCUCUCGGGAAAUCCAGCGGCUUAACCGUUGGUCGUCCGGGGGGUACUACAUUGCUUGGGACUGGGAGAGGUAGGAGGUACUCAGGGGGUAGGAGUGAAAUCCUGUAAUCCUUUGGGGACCACCGGUGGCGAAGGCGUCCUACCAGAACAGGUCCGACGGUGAGGGACGAAAGCUAGGGGCACGAACCGGAUUAGAUACCCGGGUAGUCCUAGCCGUAAACGAUGCUCGCUAGGUGUCACAACAGUCGUGAACUGUUGUGGUGCCGUAGGGAAGCCGUGAAGCGAGCCACUUGGGAAGUACGACCGCAAGGUUGAAACUUAAAGGAAUUGGCGGGGGAGCAC
rnacentral:rRNA from 1 species